rnacentral:piRNA from 1 species
UCCGGUAAUAUUUCAUUUCCA